AUAUUAUUAUCUUGCCACUCCUUCUCAAGUUUGCAUGAGUGAAUUACAAGAUGGCACUGCAGCGAACAAAUAGCAUAAAUUAUACAAAAAAGUUAAUUUUUAUUCAAUUCUGCGAAACGUCCAUUCGGCGAAAUGACUUUCGGCGAAACGUACCAUUCGGCGAAACGACAUUCGGCGAAAUGACCGUCGGCGAAACGUACCAGAUCCUUUUGAACCAUCCGUAAAGAAACGAAUAGUUCCUUCUGGAAGUGUAGGUCCUCCAUUACUCCACAUUUGGCGAUUUGUUUCAAUCACCUCAUAUGGAAUGUCUAUAUUGGGCCUCACCUCCAUGCAGUCCAUGAAGUUGUAAGGGGCCUUCACGAUCCGCGAGUGACCCGUUCCAUCUCCUUCCAUCCAGUUGUUACACCAUUGUAGUCGUAGAGCGCCAAGCACUGCCUCCUGCUUCACAUGUAAAUGCAAAGGCAGAAUGCAUACACACUAAAAAAAUAUGAAUAUUACAUUUAACGGAAUUCUCAAUCUGAUGUAAAAAAAAAUAUAAUGUAAAUGAAAUAAUGACGUGAAUUCACAUUCUUUUUGACGCAAAAUGUCAAAAUUUCUAUUGUAAAUCUGAAGCACAACUUUGUAAAUGUAUGUAUGUGAUAAUAAAUCAAUUUUGACCUAAUUUUACAUUAUAUUUGAUGCACAUAACUGGAGCGUGUUUUAAGAUGUAACUUUACAUCAAAUUUAAUGUAAUGUCACGCGUUUUAUUUCUUACACGUCUGAAGCAGAAACGUCAAAACGUCAGACAUGAGGUUGUCCAUGUUUGGCAACGAGUAGUUUUUUUUUUCACUGAGGGGCUCAAAAAAUGUUUGGAAUCUGUUACAAAAGGCCAAGACGGCAUAAGGAAAUUCCUGGUAAAGGUGUCAGAUGUUGAUUUUUAUCCGGAAGAGCUGUCGCGGCAGAACUAAUGAUGGGACGUUGUCAGUAGCCAAAGCUGCAGCUGUGGGGCAAGAAAUUAGAUGGUUUUCACUAUCGUGACGAAAUCCAAUUGGAUUUGGUGAAGUGGUAUGAGUAGUCAGGAAAAGUCAGUGUUUUGCUUUAAAAUGUGAUUUGGUGCUUUGUGAAAUGUGAAUGUUUUGAAGUGCAGGCUUAUGAAUGACAAUAAAAUUAUUGAAAACAA